CCUGGUUGAUCCUGCCAGUAAUCAUAUGCUUGUCUCAAAGAUUAAGCCAUGCAUGUCUAAGUACAUGCCGAAAUAAGGCGAAACCGCGAAUGGCUCAUUAAAUCAGUUAUGGUUCCUUAGAUCGUUUCUUCCUACUUGGAUAACUGUGGCAAUUCUAGAGCUAAUACAUGCAGUGAGCCCUUGUGUCCUUUUUGGCCAGCGGGUGCUUUUAUUAGACCAAGAUCGAUCGGGUUUCGGCCCGUAUUGUGUGGUGACUCUGGAUAACUUUGUGCUGAUCGCAUGGCCACGAGCCGGCGACGUUUCUUUCAAGUGUCUGCCUUAUCAACUUUCGAUGGUAGGUUACUUGCUUACCAUGGUUGUUACGGGUAACGGAGAAUCAGGGUUCGAUUCCGGAGAGGGAGCCUGAGAAACGGCUACCACAUCCAAGGAAGGCAGCAGGCGCGCAAAUUACCCACUCCCGGCACGGGGAGGUAGUGACGAAAAAUAACAAUACGGGACUCUUUUGAGGCCCCGUAAUUGAAAUGAGUACACUCUAAAUCCUUUAACGAGGAUCAAUUGGAGGGCAAGUCUGGUGCCAGCAGCCGCGGUAAUUCCAGCUCCAAUAGCGUAUACUAAAGCUGCUGCGGUUAAAAAGCUCGUAGUUGGAUCUCAGUUCCAGACGAGUAGUGCAUCUACCCGAUGCGACGGCUCGGACUGAACAUCAUGCCGGUCGUUUCUUGGUGCACUUCAUUGUGUGCCUCGAGAUGGCCGGUGCUUUUACUUUGAAAAAAUUAGAGUGCUCAACGCAGGCGAGUCGCCUGAAUAAACUUGCAUGGAAUAAUAGAACAAGACCUCGUUUCUGUUCUGUUGGUUUUUGGAAUACGAGGUAAUGAUUAAGAGGGACAGACGGGGGCAUUCGUAUUGCGGCGCUAGAGGUGAAAUUCUUGGACCGUCGCAAGACGAACUACUGCGAAAGCAUUUGCCAAGAAUGUUUUCUUUGAUCAAGAACGAAAGUCAGAGGUUCGAAGGCGAUCAGAUACCGCCCUAGUUCUGACCAUAAACGAUGCCAACCAGCGAUCCGCCUGAGUUACUCAAAUGACUCGGCGGGCAGCUUCCGGGAAACCAAAGUAUUUGGGUUCCGGGGGAAGUAUGGUUGCAAAGCUGAAACUUAAAGGAAUUGACGGAAGGGCACCACCAGGAGUGGAGCCUGCGGCUUAAUUUGACUCAACACGGGAAAACUUACCCGGCCCGGACACUGGGAGGAUUGACAGAUUGAGAGCUCUUUCUUGAUUCGGUGGAUGGUGGUGCAUGGCCGUUCUUAGUUGGUGGAGCGAUUUGUCUGGUUAAUUCCGAUAACGAACGAGACUCUAGCCUAUUAAAUAGGUGCGGGGUUCCCAGCACCUUACAACCUUCUUAGAGGGACAAGCGGCUCCUAGCCGCACGAAACUGGGUUUUUUCAAGCAGAAGACGGCAUACGAGAUCUGAUCGUGACUGGAGUUCAGACGUGUGCUCUUCCGAUCUAC
rnacentral:rRNA from 1 species